GAGGCGACGAUGCGUAGGGGUUCUGAGAGGAAGGCCCCCCACACUGGUACUGAGACACGGACCAGACUCCUACGGGAGGCAGCAGUGAGGAAUAUUGGUCAAUGGGCGCGAGCCUGAACCAGCCAAGUCGCGUGAGGGAGGACGGCCCUACGGGUUGUAAACCUCUUUUGCCGGGGAGCAACGGGCGUCACGUGUGGCGCCACUGAGAGUACCCGGAGAAAAAGCAUCGGCUAACUCCGUGCCAGCAGCCGCGGUAAUACGGAGGAUGCGAGCGUUAUCCGGAUUUAUUGGGUUUAAAGGGUGCGUAGGCGGAUCGUUAAGUCAGUGGUCAAAUUGAGGGGCUCAACCCCUUCCCGCCAUUGAAACUGGCGAUCUUGAGUGGAAGAGAAGUAUGCGGAAUGCGUGGUGUAGCGGUGAAAUGCAUAGAUAUCACGCAGAACCCCGAUUGCGAAGGCAGCAUGCCGGCUUCCGACUGACGCUGAAGCACGAAAGCGUGGGGAUCGAACAGGAUUAGAUACCCUGGUAGUCCACGCGGUAAACGAUGAGCGCUAGGUGUCCGGGGGGAAUGGCCCCUGG
rnacentral:rRNA from 1 species